UUUUUUUUAAGGAAGAAAAUCGAAUCAAACAUUCCUAAUAAUCAUCAAAUCCAAGUCCAAAGGAUCGUAGCCAACCCAUGUGAUAUGAGGGCUAAAAUGGACUUCCUGAAUUUACAAUCAAACGGUAAGACAUAGGAUUACAAUUAUACACUAGGUGACCAUCCAGUAAAUCAAGCUUUAAACAAAGAAUUAUCAUUUUUAUUAUCACCGUAGAUGGUGGGAUGAUCACGAGCAAAAAAAGGCAUAACCCUCGUAAAUUUGUGUCAUCAAACUCUGCAAACGCAAAAUUGACUGAGUUUGCGUUUUAGCGCCUCAAAAGAACCCAACACUUUUAUUCUACUCAACCACUGUUUCCUAUCUAAUGACUGAUGGCGAGGGAAAAAAAAA
rnacentral:misc_RNA from 1 species